ACAGACAUGGAUUGGGCUAGGGCUCUAGCCACUGGACACCGUUCAUGGUAUUGAGGGAAGGGCACCUGAUGCUGGAUUCUAAUGUGCACUGGCAGAGUUUGCAACAUCUCUGCAGUAAUGUGAGAUGUUAGUCACUCUUCUUUCACUGACUAUUCCUAUGCUAGGACAAAAAUCUACUGAAUCCUAGUGUAGUCAAGGCAAGUUGUUGUUUUAAACUAUUAGAGGCAAAUGCUGGGGCAUAGCCUCAAGCAGCUAACAUUUUAAAACAACAACUUGUCUCGUCUAUACUGGGAUUUUAACACUAACUUUUAACUUAAGUCUUCACUGUAGAGUUACAAGUCAAGUGUUAUCCCUUAACUGAAUCUCUCUCUCCUUUCCCUUUCAGCUGAUGCUUUUAAUUUGUCAGCUAGCCCGAGGGAAUAUGUGCUGCAGCUUGAGGUAGCACAACUCAUCUGCUGCUAACACAAUUAUUGUGCUACUUGAGGGAUGUUUUGCAGUGAAGACAGCCUAUGAACUUCUUUGGGAAUAAGGGGAAGAGUUAAAAGGAUAAUGCUGUGAAAGAAAAGGCCAGUUACUCAUCCAUUGUCUUUGAAAAAGUGUCUUCGCUGAGGCUCUGCCUUGGUACCUGAAAAAACACCAGCUGAGAACCUGUAGUAGUACAGAGUCUUGUCAUAGUAGCCUUGCUUCAAGCUUGGAUUGGCUUGACCUGUGGCAGGGAAGCACCACUAUUCAGCUGUCCUCAGAUCACAGGUUUGGCAUGUCUGUAUCCUGUAAGACAUGAGCUGAAGCAUAAGUGUGGUUAAGUAGGCCAUAACCCUUGGCAUAGAUCAACAGUUACUUUUUAGAUUUUAUGAACUAAGGAGAGCUUGCUUAAUGGUAGGAGUUAGAAUGUUCCAGUAAGUGCUACUGCAAGGAACACAAGUAAUAACUGUAAAUCUGCUUAAGAACAGGUGAUAGAUAUGAUCAUGAGCUGAAAUGGUAAUUACAUCUAUCAGUAUACUAACCUGUUGAAGGAGGACACCUCAGCAUUAGUAGGAUGAGGGAAAUAUAUGUAGGGGAAAAAGUGGGAAAAACCCCUACUGAGUAUGCUUUAGAUAUAGUAGCAUCAGUGUAACAUAUUAUAAAGGUUGCAUCCCAGCCUGUGGGGUAAGAAAGAGGUGUAGUCCUUGGAAGAGGCCAAAACGAUGGCCACUCGUGAUGAGGAAGAUGAGUCUUUCAGGUCGUCCUGCAAGGGAUGGUGUGAGUAUAUGGAUGUACGUUCUGUAGUGUCUCUAUCUUACUGAGUGAGUGUGUGUGACUUCACUAAAUGUAUUAAUAAACUAUUUGGAAAUAUAGAAGAGUUCCUAUAGUGAGUGUUGCAGCUGUGCACAUUGGGGUUCCCAACUAUAUAGUAAUUUUAAUAAUACUGGGCCUGCUCUUGGGCCAAGGACCUGUCAACUGUCAAAAUGAUACCUGGGAAUUUUUAGGUAAUCAAUAUAAUUAAUACUCACACUAUAGAUCAGGCUACACACUCCUGUCAGUAGGACAGGUGGCAUUUUAAGGCUUCAGGACUACACUGAACAAAGCUUUUCUCAUCACCAUCUUUUAGAUAAUAGGAAAGUCCCAGAACAUCAGUUUCUGUGAUGAGUGAAAGAGGAGGUAAUAACUAGAGCUUGUUGGAAAAUGCUGAUUCACUAGAAUUGAAACUUUACACAGGAAUGUAUCCAAUCAAUAGAAAUUUUUGAUGGAAACCAGGUCUUCCUGGUUUCCUGCCCAGAAUCCCCUGCUCCCUGGAAUUUUUCAAAACAUUGUUUUGAUUCUCUGGAUUCUUUCUUAAAAUUACUUUGCACCAAAUAUUUUGAUUGUUUUUGUGUUUGUUCUAAUUCAGAACAAAAAAAAAAUUGUAAAAUAAUUUGUUUUUUGACCAGCUCUAGUGCUAACUGAACAGCAGGAUAAGCCCCUUCAUCCCACUCCCUCUCUAAGAGGUUUCUUUUGUUUUACAGUACUUUUCCUGUUCUCUAGAGGGGGAUUAUUUUUUAUGUCCAUAUUUGGCAUGCUGUACUCAGAAGCUUUGUUUUCUCCCAUGGAAGGUUGGCCAGCAGAAUGAUUUACUUUUAUAUAAAACAAAAUUUCAUAGCAAAUCCUGGAAUGUGGUUAAUAUUGUGGGGGUUCUCUAUAUCUAACCAUAUUGCCAAAUAUGAACAAUCUUUAUAAUACAAAAAAGCCUUUCACAGUUCACACCAAUAAAGGAUUGCCAGGCCUUGUCUACACUUACAGCAGGGCAGCUGCACCCCUGUAGCGCUUCAUGAAGAUGGUGUCUGCGCUAACGGGAGAGCUUCUCCCAUCAGCGUAGGUACUCCACCUCCCCGACAUAGCACUGUCUACACUGGGAGUUAGGUUGGUAUAACUGGAAAAUCCAUACCCCUGAGCAACAUAUUUAUACUGCUAUAAGUUCAUAGUGUAGACCAGGGCCCAGUCAGAGCACUUGUUACUUUGUACAUCAGUUUGGCUUUGCAUAAAUUUCAUUAUCCCACUCCAUGUUAGCUGGAUCAGUUACAAUGCAUAGGUCUGAAAACACCCUCUGAUUUUAAUCAAAAGUACAUUUCAGCUCACUUUUGGGCCAGCCUGUUUGCAUGAGGCUGGGAGGUUGAGUGUGUUCAGCCAGGUCUGGUAAGAAAGCAUCUAUCACUCUGUUCCUCCAUCUGCUGGGCACCUGCAGUUGUUAAGUGAGUGGGCUGUAAUGUUAACCCUCGGAAGGAGUCUGUGCAGUAAUUACACUGAGCAUGAGUGGAUUUAUCCUGAUCAGCAACCCAUCCCAGCCUGUCCUGCAGGCACAUAUUUCUCUCCUGCUGCUUCCUAGUCUGAAACAAAGGGAAGUGGUUGCAGAAGGCAGGCUGACCAGGAAUGGGGCAGGUUCCUGGCUGAAGAGGGGCAGGAUUCAUUGUAAGACACCACCUCCUCUGCUCUUCUCAGAAGUUACUGACUCUGGCACAGCACCCUCUAGCAUAGGUGGUCCUCCCUGACACAUUGUCCCUUAGAAACCUAACAAGUCCCUGGAAAUCAGCCAACAGUAUAUAAGGACUGUGUGUGAAUCAGGUGUGAGAGGAAGCCUUCAAUUAUAUCACUCCCCUUAUUCUACUACUUAAUCCAGAUCUUUCAGGGGGAUUAGACUGUUAAUGUCCAGACCUAGAGACUGACUCAACACAAUUCAUUUUUCACAAACUUCAUUGACAUUCUUUUACCACUCACUACCAAAUCCACCAUUACUCACAGUCUUUGGCCGUUCAGUCUUUCCAGAUGUUACAUUGCUACCUUUGGGAUCUGGAGUCAAAGGAUUCUGCUUGUAAUCCCUAGGUAGAGUUGAUGCUGAGAGCACUGUGCGCUGGGCCCAGGAUGCAGAACCUAUAUUAUAAAUAAUGUGGAGUUACAGCAGAACUUGACUUUAGCAAAAAUACACAAAGCACCUGUUCUCAAAAAUACAGAUGUUAACAGUCAUACAGAACUGUAAGCAACUUCUUUCUUAGUCCUGUCCUAACUGCAUAGCGGUUCCUGUAUAGUUUCUAAGAGAAUGUGCAGAAUUAAAAAUAGCCACAAUAUUUCUGCAUAAAAAGUUCAUCAAAGCCCAUACCCUGUCACAGCUUAGAGAAAGUCUCAUUACUAAGGGAGUCAUACAUAUAUUCCACCAUCAGUGGACAGAUCAGUGAAGCAGAUCUUUGCUGAUCCAAACUCUAUAAUCCAUUAUAUGCAAAUAGUUUCUCCAAAGCACUAUUGUCAUUAUCCCUUAGAUUGCAACAGAAUCAAAAAUGAAAGAUGAUGUGUUUCUUCAAUUUCAAGUGUUAGCUUAGUUUUUCCCUUCACUAGGUCUUCACAUGGACAGAGGAACUUCCCUAAUUGACUGUUGGUCCAGUUAGCCACAGAAAUCUCUAAAGCAGAUGCUGAGUUUCUAACCAGCUACUCAUAUGAUUAGCUCUAAUCUUGGAUUGUCUCCACAUACAGCAUAGUUAAUAUUCUGUUAGUAGCCACUGGCAGCUUGCCACAUGUCACCCGUGCCAACAGCCUUGACUGAUACCUAACUAUGUUUCUGUAAACUAAUUAUAGCACUUAUUUUGCCAUACAGAUACGACCCUACAUCAGUAUAAUUGAGAUGGGUGCUCCUCCUCCUUCCCAUAUCUUUGUGCAGCAAGACGUCCCAGAAUGUAUUGUUCUGUGUCCCCUGCUGAGGCAAAUGAAUCUGAGGCAAUAUGGCAACAGGCCAGAUUUUCUCAGAAAGCACUGAUAGGCAGCAUGGUGGACAGUUGGUUGUGCUGUGACUAAAGCAUCUAUGUGGACAACUCAACUGUGUUUAUUGUAACCAGAUCACAUGAGAGUGUCAAGACCUGGCUGUGGUUGCAAUUACAGCCUAAAUAGAUAGAGAUACAGCAACUGUACGCUUGUCACCCCUAGAUGAAUAUGAACACUAGAAUGAAGGGUAAUGCAUGCAAUUACUUUAGGGCUUGAUAUUACAACUAAAGACAAUACAGCCUUAUUCAAAUUAAUAAAAAAUAUAAACCUUUGCACUCUGUGAGCCUGCUUUUCCUGACAAAGUGCAUUACUGCAAAUGGGUGGGAAGUGAUAGUUAUUCUGUAUUGGUUUAUUACCUAAUAAAGAACGUCUUACGCUGCUAGCAUUAUAAGACAUCAGAUUAGUGGACUUCUUCAUUCCUUUUUAAAGAAAUAAAUUACAACAGCCAUAAUACAGUACACAAUUAACACCAUAAUCAUCAAGAAGAAGCUAGAAAAAAGCAUGUCCUUUUAGUAUUUGGGGACAGACAUCUGUGGAAUGUCUGUAUUUUGAGGCAGGCUCCAUUUUAAACAAAGGCUUUGCCUUGCUCUCCAGACAAGUUCUCCAGCUAUGCAGCAGGUUGAAGAAUGGGAACUCCCUGCCAGCCAAAUACUUUGAAAUGUCCAAGCUGAUUUUCACUUCUUUUCAUCCUGUGUGUCUGAUUUGCCCAUAGAGAGCUAGCUCUGGUUGGUUCAGAAUGUACUCAUCCUUACUUGCCCGGUUGGUUUUUACGCUGGCCAUAUGUUUCAUCUCUACUAACACUGGAAAGGCAGUUUAAUAUUCUUAACACUGUGUGUGAAUUUCAGUGCUUAUGAAAGGUGUCUGACUUACACUACUGGAAACGGAGGGCUUUUAUUUACCCCUCAGAACAGAUGCCGCAUGGGCAGCAACAGCACAAGCUUCCCCGUACUGUCCUACCAACAUGUUUCACUCCUGAUGUAGAGGGACCACCAAAAGGAGCUACGGCUCCAUGGCAGCCCAUCCAGCUUUUGUCCUCUCUAUUAAAGACUACACAGCCAUGCCAACUCUAGUGACUUCGGUGAAGAGAACAUCUGGUGAAGUGAACUGAUGACUCGAACACCUCUUUUCACAUAGGACAACGAAAAAACCAUCAUAUGGACGCUUCCAUUGACUAUUGACCUGGGCAAUUUUUUUUGUCACUACCAUCAACCUAGAGGUGAAAAGCUUUAUAUGCCUCAGCAGUUCUAAUGGCAUCCCUAGAAUUCUGUGAAGAUGUAAGGGUGAGCAACUAACGGAAGUAUCAGGAAUAUUUUAUAUUGCAAUGAAUUUGCAGGGCUGAAUUUGCUGCCAGAUCAGAACCCUCUGCUGUCUCUGAAAUGCUAGACAUCGCUUCUUCUGAAAGUCAGUGGCUAGAGAAAUCUUCACUUAGUUCCUCUUAACCUUUCAGUGGAAACACAAAUAGAUCUCCGAUUAAAUGCACUGAAAUAAUGCAUUAGAAAGGGAAAACCCACAAUGAGUUGCAAAUCAACCCUGCAACUACCGAAUGUACAGCGAAAAACCCCAGCAGGGAACAUCUUUCCACACAGACACACUGUCUCAGCUGGCAAUGUUUUCAAGAGACGGAAUGAAACUAUAAAAAAGAGAGAAACUCCCCAGCGCACCUCUCUCUCUCCCUGCUCAUCACAUUCACUGCAUCUGAAGAGACAAAGGAAGCAGCCAUUGGACUCUAGGGGAGGGGUCCUGACUGGAAAUUUUGGUCAGUUAUUUUCUGAAGCAUGUGGUAAAAAAAGCUUAGCUUUGAAUCUAAUACUGUUUCUUAAGUUAGCCACCAGUACGCAUUUUAUCUUUAUUUUUCUGGUAACCAUUUCUGACUUUUAUGCCUCAUUACUUGUACUCACUUAAAAUCUUUCUUUGUAGUUAAUAAACUUGUUUUAUUGUUUUAUCUAGUCCAGUGUGUUUAAGUCAAAGUGUUUGGGUAAUUCCAUUUGGGGUAAUAAGUUGUGUGCAUAUUAUUCCCUCAAGGGAAUAACAGACUUAAUAUAUUUGUAUUGUUCAGGAGAGGGCUGGGCAGUACAGGACAUAGGUUUCUGGGGGAAAAUCUGGGACUGGGAGUGUGUUGGUGUCACCCUGUGGUAAUCUUUAAGGCUGGUAAGAGCCCACAGGGGCUGGUUGGCUGCAGCACACACAGAGACAUAGCUGGACAUGCUGGAGGCUGUUUGUGAGCAGUCCAAGUUGGAGGCUACAUAAGCAAAGCACUCUAAAGGGCAUCCCAGGUUACAGGGCAGGAGUGACAAAGCUACUCAUUGGUCUGGAUUGUACCCUGGUAUGUCAGAACUGGAUGUCAUUUUUUUAG